rnacentral:rRNA from 1 species
GUAGGCCUACGGGGGGCAGCAGUGAGGAAUAUUGGUCAAUGGGCGCGAGCCUGAACCAGCCACGUCGCGUGAGGGAAGACGGUCCUAUGGAUCGUAAAGUUCUGUUGAAGGGGAAAAAGAGCGGAGAGAGGAAAUGAACUCCGAUUGAUAUUACCCUUCGAGGAAGUCACGGCUAACUACGUGCCAGCAGCCGCGGUAAUACGUAGGUGGCGAGCGUUAUCCGGAAUGAUUGGGCGUAAAGGGUGCGUAGGCGGCCUGCUAAGUCUGGAGUGAAAGGUACCGGCUCAACCGGUACAGGCUCUGGA